rnacentral:rRNA from 1 species
CCUACGGGAGGCAGCAGUGGGGAAUCUUGCACAAUGGGCGAAAGCCUGAUGCAGCGACGCCGCGUGAGGGAUGAAGGCCUUCGGGUUGUAAACCUCUUUCAGUAGGGAAGCAGCCCUUCGGGGUGACGGUACCUGCAGAAGAAGCGCCGGCUAACUACGUGCCAGCAGCCGCGGUAAUACGUAGGGCGCAAGCGUUGUCCGGAAUUAUUGGGCGUAAAGAGCUCGUAGGCGGUCUGUCGCGUCUGGUGUGAAAUCCUAGGGCUUAACCCUGGGCGUGCAUCGGGUACGGGCAGACUAGAGUGUGGUAGGGGAGACUGGAAUUCCUGGUGUAGCGGUGGAAUGCGCAGAUAUCAGGAGGAACACCGAUGGCGAAGGCAGGUCUCUGGGCCAUUACUGACGCUGAGGAGCGAAAGCAUGGGUAGCGAACAGGAUUAGAUACCCUGGUAGUCCAUGCCGUAAACGAUGGGCACUAGGUGUGGGAUCCAUUCCACGGGUUCCGCGCCGUAGCUAACGCAUUAAGUGCCCCGCCUGGGGAGUACGGCCGCAAGGCUAAAACUCAAAGGAAUUGACGGGGGCCCGCACAAGCGGCGGAGCAUGCGGAUUAAUUCGAUGCAACGCGAAGAACCUUAC